CUGCAUGUGGGAAUGUCUGCUUUUUAUUCCUUUAAAAGCAGGAAUACAUCUGUGACAUGCUAUAUUAAAAAGGAAAUUCUUGGGGCUGUCCUGUUAGCUCAGUUGGUUAGAAUGAGGCAUUAUAACAUACACUA